UACAAUACCCUUUUAAUUUAAGAAAGUUGUUGAAGAAAAUCACUUGAAGAGCAUGUAAAAGUGGAGAUUGCUGGCCCCUACCCUGGAAUGUCUUGAUUCACUAGGUCUACAUUGGCACCUGAGACUUUCUCAGGUGGUGCUGAUGCUGCUUGUUAAGGGACCACACUUGGAACAUCAGUUCUAUAGCUUAUAGUCUCUUUUUCAAGUAAAGACACUUGUGAUUUGUUUGUUUGCUUUGCUUUGUUAUAAACAUGUUCUCAUCUUUCCCUAGUUGCAAUAAUCUAUCUUUUCCCCAUAAAAACUUUUUUAAGAUUUACUUCUUUAAGACAAGUUCCCACGUGGCCUCAUGACAACUUCUGUAUCCACCCUCCAAUCCUAUCAUAUUGAUGAGUUUUAUAUAGUUGACAUACAGGCAGUCCUCGUUUAGUACACAGUUUCAAUAAGCAAAAGUUUUAAUUAUGAUAUAUAUUAACAGUGAGUCAUUACAUAAAGUAUAAGCUUCAUUGCUGGCCCUUCAGUGUACAAAUCACAGUAAAUAAUAGGCAUAUCAUGAUCAGGGACCAGUCAUGUCACUUCUUUCAAAUCUGUUUAUAAUUGGUUAUUGUGCACCUGUUGAGCUCAUGCACAGAAAGCAACGUGUGCAGUUGUGUUGACUCUGUGUCCCAGUGAUAAACCCGUGUGAUAUGUUACAAAAGUAGAUGAUCAAAAGAGAGAAUUGGCCAACAACUAUUAAAGCAAAGCAAAGAAAAAAAGGUGAUACUGCCAGAAGUGAAACUUAAAUGGAACAUAAAUGGAA